CCCGCACAAGCGGUGAGCAUGUGGUUUAAUUCGAUGCAACGCGAAGAACCUUACCUGGGUUUGACAUAUAGGUUGUAGGGAACUGAAAAGGGACCGACCCUUCGGGGAGCCUAUACAGGUGUUGCAUGGCUGUCGUCAGCUCGUGUCGUGAGAUGUUCGGUUAAGUCCGCUAACGAGCGCAACCCUCGUCGUAUGUUAUAUGUGUCAUACGAGACUGCCGGUAAAAGCCGGAGGAAGGUGAGGAUGAUGUCAAGUCAGCAUGACCUUUAUAUCCAGGGCUACACACACGCUACAAUGGUCUGUACAAUGGGUAGCCAAGCCGCGAGGCGGAGCCAAUCCUGAAAGCAGGCCUCAGUUCAGAUUGCAGUCUGCAACUCGACUGCAUGAAGCCGGAGUUGCUAGUAACCGCAGGUCAGCAAUACUGCGGUGAAUACGUUCCCGGGUCUU
rnacentral:rRNA from 1 species